UGUAUGUGUAUAUGUGCAUGUGCGGGAGAGGUGAAUAUGACGUCACCUAGCUACUCAGUCUCUGGUAUCAGAACUCUGCUUUUGCCAACUGGCAGUCAAGCACCUCUCCUUUGUCUCCAGCUUCCAUCCACUUCCCGCUUCUACACUGUUGGCAAUCAAGCUGUCAGCCUGCCAGGUGGCAUCUCCCUCCCAAGUUUUAUCUCAGAAUUGGUUGUGUUUCCAAACUCCUUACUUCUGAGGGCCCUGUGGCUUUGACCUGCUCAGACCCUCUGGGGGAGGGUCUUGCCUGAGCAAUGACUGGGUGCCAGCCCACCCUCAGGAACAUUUGUGGGACAGCACUGCUGCCAAUGCCCAGAGACUACAGCUGAUGCCAGCCUGCCCCAGAAAAAGUUCAUGUGAUCGUGUAGCAGCAGCGUUUCAGGGAUUAUGGUAAAUUACAACACACAUCUGGUGCUAGGCUUCACCUCCCCUUAACAUCCUUUUUUCCAACACCAGCAAAUGUGGCUGUUCUCUGGAGUCCACUGGGACCUUUGCCUGUGGGGAGGCCACACAGCCUCUACCAAAUGUCCUCUCUGCAGGGGAAUUGCCUCUCCCCCGGUGGCCCAAGGGCCUCUUGGAUCUCGCUGUCUGUUCCUGAGGAUCCACCCUUCCCACCGGAGCACCACCAGGCUGGCUCGAGUUGGUGAGAAGGAAGUGAGUGUCAUAUGCAGGAGGACCUGGUGCACAGGUGGAAGGACUGGCUGACAUGCACGUGGAGAGUUCAUCUCUGAUGAUAGGCUCAAGUGGCUGCUGUUGAGAUGGGCAAGUUCAUGAAACCUGGGAAGGUGGUCCUGGUCCUGGCCAUAAGUUACUCCAGAUGCAAAGUAGUCAUCAUGAAGAACGUUGAUGAUGGCACCUCAGACCAUCCUUAAACCAUGCUCUGGUGGCUGGAAUUGACCACUCUCCGUGCAACAUGACAGCUGCCAUGGGCAAGAAGAAAAUUGCCAAGAGGUCAAAGAUCAAGUCUUUUGUGAAAGUGUGAUACCAUAACUACUUUUUAUUAACCAAUGUCUUGACCCUCCAGCAACUGGAUGCAGCACACAGUGUGCUUUCUGAGGUCCCUGUUAGAGCACAUCACUGGUCACUCUCCCAGGAAACAGGGUGGGGAUGUUAGUGACACAGCAGUUGGGCAGUGAGUUUGGGAAACACUUUGGGAUUUACACAAGGAUGUAGGAGAAAGAAGAGAGAGGAAAAAGAGGAAGAAGUAGGUGAAGCAGAAAGGAACAAGUAGAAGAGGAGGGAGAGAAGGCAAAGAAGGAGGAAGAGGAAAUGAAGGAGACAAGUGGGGAUCAGUCACGAUCCUUAUCCUCAUGUACAUUCAAUUAGCCCAUAACAUCUGUCCUCCUUACGACUGACAAGGUAGGGGAUUGUUGGGGAGGAAGACCUUCCUCUGUCCUAUGGUCCUUCUAACUGGACUUAGAAUCAAAUUGACAUGAGACAGAUUAACAGGAGAAAAUCAAAUUUAAUGUGUGUAUGUACGGGGAAUCCACACAGACAUGAAAUUCUGAAGAUAAUGAACAACAUGAAGCCUACAUGAGCUAAGAACAAAGCUAAGGGCCUGAGGCCACAAAGGGGAGGAAAGUCAUUAGCCCAGAAGGUGAGAAGAGAUGCUUGGAAAAACAAGAUUGUUCUAUCGUGCAGUGGAGUUCCCUUGGUAAAAAGGGGUCUCGGUUAGUACUUCUCUUUCUGUUGCAGGCUCUCCUUUCCAGUGUAAAUUUAGGCAGUUAUGGGGGAGGCAGAAAGCCUUUCUGGUAUCUGCUGGGUUUUUAUUACUUUUAACUCGAAAUGAUCUUUAUACCAAAGUGGCGCAUUUUGGCAUGUCUCAUCCUGUACCCCUUCAGGAUGGUCACUUGUUCUCAGGCUGAGGAUGCCCUCAGGUGACUGCCACCCCUAGACUUGCUUUGAUUUUAAAAUGAACUACCCCUCCCUAUUUUCAUUUUUUAAGAGUUAAGAAUUCAUAAGCCAAGAAGGUAGCAUCUUGUACAAUACAUGGUUUUUGUUCAACACUCUCCCUACCCUCCUACCUAUUACAGACUUUUUCGCUCAAAUGGGAAAGGACAAGGGGUCUUGUUUUGGUGCUGUGCCAGCACCAACCUGGGCAGGAGGUAUUUGCUGAUUCUUCCGUACUGGACACCACUGGGAGCUCCUGAGAAAGACCAAAAGAUUUUAUUAAAUACACACACAUUUAUGGCAACAUUCCUUCUCUCA